CCUACGGGAGGCAGCAGUAGGGAAUCUUGCUCAAUGGGCGAAACCCUGAAGCAGCAACGCCGCGUGGGGGAUGAAGGUUUUCGGAUUGUAAACUCCUUUUGUUAGAGAAGAUAGUGACGGUAUCUAACGAAUAAGCACCGGCUAACUCCGUGCCAGCAGCCGCGGUAAUACGGAGGGUGCAAGCGUUACUCGGAAUCAAUGGGCGUAAAGAGCGCGUAGGCGGGAUAGCAAGUCAGAUGUGAAAUCCUAUGGCUUAACCAUAGAACUGAAUUUGAAACUGUUAUUCUAGAGUAUGGGAGAGGUAGGUGGAAUUCGUGGUGUAGGGGUAAAAUGCGUAGAGAUCAAGAGGAAUACUCAUUGCGAAGGCGACCUGCUAGAACAUAACUGACGCUGAUGCGCGAAAGCGUGGGGAGCAAACAGGAUUAGAUACCCGGGUAGUC
rnacentral:rRNA from 1 species